ACGCUGGCGGCGUGCCUAAUACAUGCAAGUAGAACGCUGAAGAGAGGAGCUUGCUCUUCUUGGAUGAGUUGCGAACGGGUGAGUAACGCGUAGGUAACCUGCCUUGUAGCGGGGGAUAACUAUUGGAAACGAUAGCUAAUACCGCAUAACAAUGGAUGACCCAUGUCAUUUAUUUGAAAGGGGCAAAUGCUCCACUACAAGAUGGACCUGCGUUGUAUUAGCUAGUAGGUGAGGUAACGGCUCACCUAGGCGACGAUACAUAGCCGACCUGAGAGGGUGAUCGGCCACACUGGGACUGAGACACGGCCCAGACUCCUACGGGAGGCAGCAGUAGGGAAUCUUCGGCAAUGGGGGCAACCCUGACCGAGCAACGCCGCGUGAGUGAAGAAGGUUUUCGGAUCGUAAAGCUCUGUUGUAAGUCAAGAACGAGUGUGAGAGUGGAAAGUUCACACUGUGACGGUAGCUUACCAGAAAGGGACGGCUAACUACGUGCCAGCAGCCGCGGUAAUACGUAGGUCCCGAGCGUUGUCCGGAUUUAUUGGGCGUAAAGCGAGCGCAGGCGGUUUGAUAAGUCUGAAGUUAAAGGCUGUGGCUCAACCAUAGUUCGCUUUGGAAACUGUCAAACUUGAGUGCAGAAGGGGAGAGUGGAAUUCCAUGUGUAGCGGUGAAAUGCGUAGAUAUAUGGAGGAACACCGGUGGCGAAAGCGGCUCUCUGGUCUGUAACUGACGCUGAGGCUCGAAAGCGUGGGGAGCGAACAGGAUUAGAUACCCUGGUAGUCCACGCCGUAAACGAUGAGUGCUAGGUGUUGGAUCCUUUCCGGGAUUCAGUGCCGCAGCUAACGCAUUAAGCACUCCGCCUGGGGAGUACGACCGCAAGGUUGAAACUCAAAGGAAUUGACGGGGGCCCGCACAAGCGGUGG
rnacentral:rRNA from 1 species